AGAUUAAGCCAUGCAUGUAUAAGUAUAAACGACUUGAUCGUGAAACCGCGAACGGCUCAUUAUAACAGCUAUAAUUUACUUGAUCUUGACAACCUACUUGGAUAACUGUGGUAAUUCUAGAGCUAAUACAUGCACCAAAGCUCCGACCGUAAGGGAAGAGCGCAUUUAUUAGAACAAAACCAAGCGGCUUCGGCCGUCCAAUGUUGACUCAGAAUAACUAAGCUGAUCGCAUGGUCUUGUACCGGCGACGUGUCUUUCAAGUAUCUGCCUUAUCAACUUUCGAUGGUAGUGUAUCUGACUACCAUGGUGAUGACGGGUAACGGAGGAUAAGGGUUCGACUCCGGAGAAGGGGCCUGAGAAAUGGCCACUACGUCUAAGGAUGGCAGCAGGCGCGCAAAUUACCCACUCUCAGAAUGAGGAGGUAGUGACGAGAAAUAACGAGACCGUUCUCUUAAGAGGCCGGUCAUCGGAAUGGGUACAAUUUAAACCCUUUAACGAGUAUCUAUGAGAGGGCAAGUCUGGUGCCAGCAGCCGCGGUAAUUCCAGCUCUCAAAAUGCAUAGAAUUAUUGCUGCGGUUAAAAAGCUCGUAGUUGGAUCUGUGCUGGCCUCCCGGUCCACUUUCGGGUGCGCACUGGUGAGGUUGGCUUUCCUGCCUAUUUAACGGCUGGUGCCUUUAAUCGGGUGCUAGUCGUGUAGGCAAGUUUACUUUGAACAAAUCAGAGUGCUCAAAACAGGCGUUUCGCUUGAAUGUUCGUGCAUGGAAUAAUAGAAGAGGAUUUCGGUUCUAUUUUAUUGGUUUUAUAGACUGAGAUAAUGGUUAAC
rnacentral:rRNA from 1 species